GCUGAUCAGUAGUGGGAUCGCGCCUGUGAAUAGCCACUGUACUCCAGCCUGGGCAACAUAGCGAGACCCCGUCUCUUUUG
ensembl:miRNA